UACGAAGGGGGCUAGCGUUGCUCGGAAUGACUGGGCGUAAAGGGCGCGUAGGCUGUGCUGUAAGUCAGGCGUGAAAUCCCCGGGCUCAACCUGGGAAUUGCGUUUGAUACUGCGGCGCUGGAAUGCAGGAGAGGAUGGCGGAAUUCCCAGUGUAGAGGUGAAAUUCGUAGAUAUUGGGAAGAACACCGGUGGCGAAGGCGGCCAUCUGGCCUGUAAUUGACGCUGAGGCGCGAAAGCGUGGGGAGCAAACAGG
rnacentral:rRNA from 1 species